UUUAUCUAUGGUUUUUUAUGUUGUUGUUUUUUGGCACUGCCCUUGUGUAAAUUACCGGUAAAAUUUAUAAACGACAUUACAUUUAUCAUAAAGUUGAUUUGUUUUUUUCAAGUAAUUUAAAGAGUACAUCAUGGCUUGGUUACCAUUGGAAUCAAAUCCAGAUGUUAUGAACAAGUUCAUGCAAACUCUGGGGGUUGAAGAUAAAUGGAGUUUUGUUGACGUGUAUGGGUUAGAUGGUGAAACAUUGCAGUGGGUUCCGCGCCCCGUUUUAGCUGUGAUGCUUCUGUUUCCUUGCAACGAUAAAUUUGAAGAAUUUGCCAAAGAAGAAUGUGAACAAAUAAAACAAAAAGGCCAAACAAUUUCUCCAACUGUAUAUUUUAUGAAACAGUUUGUUUCCAAUGCCUGUGGAACAGUUGCACUUAUUCAUAGUAUUGCAAAUAAUCUGGACAAAAUAAAUAUUUCAGAUGGAUUGUUUAAAAGUACUUUAGAAUCUAGUAUAAAUAUGACACCAGAUGAAAGAGGAACACUAUUAACAAAUACAGGUGGUGGUAUAAGUGAAAUUGCUGAUUCCUUAGCUAAAGAAGGACAAACAGAGUUUAAACUGUACAUUUGCAAGAAAAUGUGCACUUUUAUAUGCUUAUUUGGUACAUAUGAGGAGAUUAUUGUUAAUCAUUACUUGUGUCCAAUGUAAUGAGUACAGUGCUGUAAUUUUGAAGUUUGGGUUGUAUUUGGUAUGGUUUCCCUGAUUAAAGUUAAAAUCAAGGUAACCUUCUAAGGCUAACGUCUAUUUGCAUAUGUUACCAACCAAACAGUGUGAAAGUACACAUUUUCUGGCGAAUGUGCAAUUAACACACUCUUACCAUAACAUAUUUGAGUUAAGAAUCACAUCAUUUGGCUGAAUGGAUAAUCUGAAAACAAGUCUAAAGUGAAACAAAUUAUGGUUUUCCGCCUUGUAAAAUUUUCAUUCAGUGAGUCCAAAUAUGCGGGUAUAUCACCAUUUCGUUGCAUUUGUUUGUAAAGACGGAAGCUUAUAUGAAUUGGAUGGAAGAAGAGAUUUU